UUUAUCGGAGAGUUUGAUCCUGGCUCAGGACGAACGCUGGCGGCGUGCCUAAUACAUGCAAGUCGAGCGGACAGAUGGGAGCUUGCUCCCUGAUGUUAGCGGCGGACGGGUGAGUAACACGUGGGUAACCUGCCUGUAAGACUGGGAUAA
rnacentral:rRNA from 1 species